CAAUAGCGUAUAUUAAAGUUGUUGCGGUUAAAAAGCUCGUAGUCGGAAUUUGGCAGUUCCGGAUGUGUGCACGUCGUGUGCGCACUUCGCGGGGAUUGCUUUUGUGGUCUUGCGUAGGAUGAGGCACUUUUAUUAGUGAACGUCCUCACGCAACCACUUUUUACUGUGAGAAAAUCAGAGUGCUCAAAGCAGGCAUUUGCCGUGAAUGUAUUAGCAUGGAAUAAUAGAAUAGGACUUGGUUCUAUUUUGUUGGUUUGUUGGGACUGAGUAAUGAUUAAGAGGGACAGUUGGGGGCAUUUGUAUUUCGGUGCUAGAGGUGAAAUUCUUAGAUUACCGAAAGACAAACUGCUGCGAAAGCGUCUGCCAAGGAUGUUUUCAUUGA
rnacentral:rRNA from 1 species